rnacentral:tRNA from 2 species
GCCUCAGUAGCUCAGCCUGGUAGAGCAUCUGAUUUGUAAUCAGACGGUCGGGGGUUCAACUCCCUCCUGAGGCUCCA